rnacentral:misc_RNA from 1 species
CUUCCAGAAAUUCACAAUCGCGAUCAAUUUGUUUGAUCAGUUCUUCAUACCAGUUUCGCUGGAGACGGAACACAAAGUUCAGAUCAAGGUCCUUGAGGGUAGUAGUUUCAUCAAUUUCUCCUUCAGGUUUAUCUGUUGUGCGGCCAUGUGAGGAACCUUUCAGGUCAAACCGUCUGUGAAUACGAUAUUCUGAGCAGAACAUGUUGCCCAUAACAAUGAACCGUGUCUUGACACCACCAACCGGUUUGACGCAAUGGACACCGUAGAACUUUGUGACCAGGGUAUUUUCAUAACGACAAACAUGUUGAUAGUAACUUGGAAGCAUCUUAAUAAGCACCUUGACUUCUGAUUUUUUCACAGUUUUGAUCAUAAACCUAUCAUCCUGAGUCAAAUAGAAGAAGCUUCCACUCUUCCCCGG